ACUGAAUAGAUACCCAGGUAGUCCCAGCCGUAAACGAUGCUCGCUAGGUGUCAGGCAUGGCGCGACCGUGUCUGGUGCCGCAGGGAAGCCGUGAAGCGAGCCACCUGGGAAGUACGGCCGCAAGGCUGAAACUUAAAGGAAUUGGCGGGGAGCACAACAACGGGUGGAGCCUGCGGUUUAAUUGGACUCAACGCCGGACAACUCACCGGGGGUCGACAGCAAUAUGUAGGCCAGGCUGAAGACCUUGCCUGAAUCGCUGAGAGGAGGUGCAUGGCCGUCGCCAGUUCGUACUGUGAAGCAUCCUGUUAAGUCAGGCAACGAGCGAGACCCGUGCCCACUGUUACCAGCAUAUUCUCCGGAAUGAUGGG
rnacentral:rRNA from 1 species